UUUAUACGUCGAAUUUUGGUCGCGUCGAAUGCAAUUAAGACAAUAGAUAAUGAGAUGAUAAACCUUAUUAAGCUUCAUUAUCUAUUGUUUGAAUUGCAUUCGACGCGACUGAAAUUUGACGUAUAAA